CAGUUACCUGGCGCAUAGUCUGCUUUAGCAGGAGAUAAACCAAAUUGCAGAAGAUCAUCUUCUCUGUACACACACAUCACAGAGAUAGGAAGAAGAAAGACCUAUAUAUGCAGGAUUCAUUCCUGAAAGGACAGCAAGGCCCUUUCUACAUUAAGAAAACGUGCUCUGUAUUGAUGCAGUUGCAUUGAUGCCAACUUAUUUAAUGUAGGCAGUGCUUCAGCUGACCUUGAAAAACACUGAAUCUCUCCAACAGGUUGAUAUUCCAGGACUACAGACAGAGGUGAAGAAAUUGCUGCUCCAUGCCUGGGUGACAGCUUCCUCUAGAUGGAGGGCCAUGGGAAAGGAAGAAUUGAGGAAUUGAUGGUGGUUUCUCCAAGUUCUCCAUCAAUAUCAGAUUCAAACCGUUUGAUGUCAUUAGAAGUGAAGCAGUCUGUUGCCAUUUUUCUCCUGUUUAUAUUGCCCCUGCAAGCAGACAAUAUAAAGGAAGUGAAA